AAGCUCGUAGUUGAAUUUCGGAAUUUGUCGGUUGGUCGGGCUUCACUGUCCGCAUUGGCCUGAUAGAUUCCCACCUUCUGAAUAACCAGCAUGCUAUUAAUUUAGUGCGUUGGGGAAGCAGAGCUAUUACCUUGAAAAAAUUANAGUGCUUAAAGCAGGCUUAUGCUUGAAUAGAUUAGCAUGGAAUAAUAAAAUAGGACGGCUUGGUUCUAUUUUGUUGGUUUCUAGGAUCACCGUAAUGAUUAAUAGGGAUAGUUGGG
rnacentral:rRNA from 1 species